rnacentral:rRNA from 1 species
UACAGAGGUCUCAAGCGUUGUUCGGAUUCAUUGGGCGUAAAGGGUGCGUAGGUGGCGUCGUAAGUCGGGUGUGAAAUUUCGGAGCUUAACUCCGAAACUGCAUUCGAUACUGCGGUGCUUGAGGACUGGAGAGGAGACUGGAAUUUACGGUGUAGCAGUGAAAUGCGUAGAGAUCGUAAGGAAGACCAGUGGCGAAGGCGGGUCUCUGGACAGUUCUGACACUGAGGCACGAAGGCCAGGGGAGCAAACGGG